GCCCCGUUAGCUCAGUCGGUAGAGCAUCAGGCUUUUAACCUGAGGGUCGUGGGUUCGAGCCCCACAUGGGGCG
rnacentral:tRNA from 1 species